rnacentral:rRNA from 1 species
UACAGAGGUGGCAAGCGUUGUUCGGAAUUACUGGGCGUAAAGGGCGCGUAGGCGGCGCGGUUAGUCGGCGGUGAAAGCCCGAGGCUCAACUUCGGGUCGGCCGUCGAUACUGCUGCGCUGGAGCACUGUAGAGGCAGAUGGAAUUCCGGGUGUAGCGGUGGAAUGCGUAGAGAUCCGGAAGAACACCGGUGGCGAAGGCGGUCUGCUGGGCAGUUGCUGACGCUGAUGCGCGACAGCGUGGGGAGCAAACAGG